CUGGACUGUGAACCUUUGAACUUCUGAAUAUAUAUAUAUUUUCUAAAAAUUUGUAAAAUAUGUGAUUUCUGUUUGUUGGUCUUAUCUGUUCUGGCAAUAUCUUUGCAGGGUACUUAUGUUGAGGGAAUAAAGGAAGAAGUUGUUUUGUCUCCCGGGCAUGUACUUUCUUUUAUUGCUGCUGGGGAAGAACAUCGUCAUGUUGGUUCGAAUAAUUUUAAUUUGUUGAGUAGCCGUAGUCAUACAAUAUUCACACUGAUUAGGAGAAGCAGAAAAGGCAAUGUAUCACUAUAAACAAGCUGGUGCUGAAUCAGACCCUGAUGUCUUGACUAAAGCUAAAAACCUUCAGGUUCAUCUGAGUAAGUGUACUGAGGCCAAGAUACAAUGAGAUUGGAACACACUGCUGAAAGAAACCAGGCUCGCCAUAUCAGCUGGUGUUGAUUUUGCCCCACAGGUUAGCUAUACACUUCAAUUUCGACCUUUAAAUGUUAUGUU